rnacentral:rRNA from 1 species
UACGUAGGGUGCGAGCGUUUAAUCGGAAUUACUGGGCGUAAAGCGUGCGCAGGCGGUAAUGUAAGACAGAUGUGAAAUCCCCGGGCUUAACCUGGGACCUGCAUUGUGACUGCAUUGCUGGAGUGCGGCAGAGGGGAUGGAAUUCCGCGUGUAGCAGUGAAAUGCGUAGAUAUGCGGAGGAACACCGAUGGCGAAGGCAAUCCCGUGGGCCUGCACUGACGCUCAUGCACGAAAGCGUGGGGAGCAAACAGG